rnacentral:rRNA from 1 species
UUGAACGCUGGCGGCAUGCUUUACACAUGCAAGUCGAACGGUAACAGGGAGCUUGCUCCGCUGACGAGUGGCGAACGGGUGAGUAAUGCAUCGGAACGUACCCAGUCGUGGGGGAUAACGUAGCGAAAGUUACGCUAAUACCGCAUACGUCCUGAGGGAGAAAGCGGGGGACCGUAAGGCCUCGCGCGAUUGGAGCGGCCGAUGUCGGAUUAGCUAGUUGGUGGGGUAAAGGCCUACCAAGGCGACGAUCCGUAGCGGGUCUGAGAGGAUGAUCCGCCACACUGGGACUGAGACACGGCCCAGACUCCUACGGGAGGCAGCAGUGGGGAAUUUUGGACAAUGGGCGCAAGCCUGAUCCAGCCAUGCCGCGUGCGGGACGAAGGCCUUCGGGUUGUAAACCGCUUUCAGCCGGAAAGAAAUCGCUGUUUUUAAUACGGACAGUGGAUGACGGUACCGGAAGAAGAAGCACCGGCUAACUACGU